GACGAACGCUGGCGGCGUGCUUAACACAUGCAAGUUGAACGGGGAUAUUGGCUUCGGUUGAUAUCCUAGUAGCGGACGGGUGAGUAACGCGUGAGCAACCAACCUUUGUGAGGGGGACAACAGCUGGAAACGGCUGCUAAUACCGCAUGAGACCACGGUUUCGCAUGGAACUGAGGUAAAAGAUUUAUCGCACAAAGACGGGCUCGCGUCCCAUUAGCUAGUUGGUGAGGUAACGGCUCACCAAGGCAACGAUGGGUAGCCGACCUGAGAGGGUGAUCGGCCACACUGGAACUGAGACACGGUCCAGACUCCUACGGGAGGCAGCAGUGGGGAAUAUUGGGCAAUGGGCGCAAGCCUGACCCAGCAACGCCGCGUGAGGGAAGAAGGUCUUCGGAUUGUAAACCUCUGUCCUUGGGGACGAAAAAAAUGACGGUACCCAAGGAGGAAGCUCCGGCUAACUACGUGCCAGCAGCCGCGGUAAUACGUAGGGAGCGAGCGUUGUCCGGAAUUACUGGGCGUAAAGGGUGCGUAGGCGGCAUGGCAAGUCAGAUGUGAAAUCCCCGGGCUUAACUCGGGUGGUGCAUUUGAAACCGCCAAGCUUGAGUGCAGGAGAGGAAAGCGGAAUUCCUAGUGUAGCGGUGAAAUGCGUAGAUAUUAGGAGGAACACCAGUGGCGAAGGCGGCUUUCUGGACUGUAACUGACGCUGAGGCACGAAAGCGUGGGGAGCAAACAGGAUUAGAUACCCUGGUAGUCCACGCCGUAAACGAUGGGUACUAGGUGUGGGAGGUAUCGACCCCUUCCGUGCCGCCGUUAACACAAUAAGUACCCCGCCUGGGGAGUACGAUCGCAAGAUUAAAACUCAAAGGAAUUGACGGGGGCCCGCACAAGCAGCGGAGCAUGUGGUUUAAUUCGAAGCAACGCGAAGAACCUUACCUAGACUUGACAUCUCCUGAAUUACUCGUAACAGAGGAAGCCUUUCGGGGCAGGAAGACAGGUGGUGCAUGGUUGUCGUCAGCUCGUGUCGUGAGAUGUUGGGUUAAGUCCCGCAACGAGCGCAACCCUUGUUGUCAGUUGCCAUCAUUCAGUUGGGCACUCUGGCGAGACUGCCGGUGACAAAUCGGAGGAAGGUGGGGACGACGUCAAAUCAUCAUGCCCCUUAUGACCUGGGCUACACACGUACUACAAUGGCGAUUACAAUGGGAUGCAAGAUCGCGAGAUGGAGCCAAUCCACAAAAAUCGCCCCAGUUCAGAUUGCAGGCUGCAACUCGCCUGCAUGAAGUCGGAAUUGCUAGUAAUGGCAGGUCAGCAUACUGCCGUGAAUACGUUCCCGGGCCUUGUACACACCGCCCGUCACACCAUGAGAGUUGACAACACCCGAAGUCAGUAGCUUAACCGCAAGGGGGGCGCUGCCGAAGGUGGGGUUGAUGAUUGGGGUG
rnacentral:rRNA from 1 species